rfam:Tetrapisispora blattae CBS 6284 chromosome 1, complete genome
GCGUAAAUAGUUCAGUGGUAGAAUGUAAGUUUCCCAUACUUAUGGCCCGGGUUCGAUUCCCGGUUUUCGCA